rnacentral:rRNA from 1 species
UACGUAGGCAGCAAGCGUUGUUCGGAAUUACUGGGCGUAAAGAGUGUGUAGGCGGUGUUCUAAGUCUGUUGUGAAAUCUCCCGGCUUAACUGGGAGGUGCGGCGGAAACUGGAAUGCUAGAGGAUGGGAGAGGUAAGCGGAAUUCCUGGUGUAGCGGUGAAAUGCGUAGAUAUCAGGAGGAACACCGGUGGCGAAGGCGGAUCUCUGGGCCGUAACUGACGCUGAGGAGCGAAAGCAUGGGGAGCGAACAGG